rfam:TPA: Bos taurus chromosome 9, whole genome shotgun sequence.
UCUCAUAUGGUCUAGCUGUUAGGAUUCCUGGUUUUCACCCAAGCAGCCAGCGUUCAACACCCUGUAUGGGAA